GGCUUAAUAAGCCGUUGAUAAGAAGCAUGAUUUAUAAACGUUUAUUAGGGGUUUCUUAACUAAUAAGCAGAUUAGACCCGUUAUGUUGGCAUCUUGGCACAUCAUAGACAAAAAUAUGGCUGAACAUUAAUUAAAAAAAAAAGUUUGACAGCAGCACUAGCGGUAAAUCAUAAAAUCCUGAACAAUACGAUGCACAAUUUUGACCAGUUUUCUGGGUUAUUAUAUAUUAAAAUAGCCUCUGCAUCACAAAAACAAAUAAAUAAUAUUGCACGGCCGGAAGUUUUACGAAACUCGGUAAGCAACCACCUAUAUCAUAGUCUGAUAAUCAGAUAUGUUACGAGUAAAGUUCAUUGCAAGAUUUGCAAGCAAUAUUGAUAAAACUAUGUGUUAUUGCUUAUAGUUUCAAUAUAUUGUGGAAUGAGGGAAAGAGGGCAGUUGCACAUUUCAAGUCAAGAAUUCUGCCUGCGCGCCAUCGCCACCGUAAUACCACGGAUUCCAACACAUUUUGUUCUGGUGGCGAAACACAAACGAUAUUGACACUAUUCAUAUCAAAUGAUCGGUGAAGAUAAAUCAGGGCGCAGAGUUAAAGAUAAGCGCUUAUAUAUGCAACUUGACAAUGACAAUGUUUGCAGUGAAACAUCUCAGCCAAUAGCCGCAUUAAAAGGCAAACUGCACAAUUCAUAAUGAGGCAGAAAUGUCCAUUAUUCACAGGAGUGUCGCUGUUGGUUGUGAGUAUUCCAUCAUCAGCUAUUUGUCCGGAGCUGGCUACACAAUCCGGAGGCCACACUCUUCUGGCAUCUAACCGGCCUGCACACCGCCAUCAAAUGAAGUUGGUUGUACUGAAAUAAAGAAAAAAUAUUAACUAGUUUAAUGAUUGUCAAAUGUAAUAAAAUUGUUUUAUUUAAGUGGGUUGUUUGAUUUCCCUAAAUUAACACAUGAAAUAUGUUGAUAUGUUAUAAUAAAAAUCUCAGUUAAAAACUCA